UCCAGACUCCUACGGGAGGCAGCAGUGGGGGAUAUUGCACAAUGGGGGGAACCCUGAUGCAGCGACGCCGCGUGGGUGAAGGAGCGUUUCGGCGCGUAAAGCCCUCUCGGCAGGGAAGAAGGAGGACGGUACCUGACUAAGAAGCCCCGGCUAACUACGUGCCAGCAGCCGCGGUAAUACGUAGGGGGCAAGCGUUAUCCGGAUUUACUGGGUGUAAAGGGGGCGCAGACGGCAGCGCAAGCCAGGAGUGAAAGCCCGGGGCCCAACCCCGGGACUGCUCUUGGAACUGCGCGGCUGGAGUGCAGGAGGGGCAGGCGGAAUUCCUGGUGUAGCGGUGAAAUGCGUAGAUAUUAGGAGGAACACCGGUGGCGAAGGCGGCCUGCUGGACUGUGACUGACGUUGAGGCCCGAAGGCGUGGGGAGCAAACAGGAUUAGAUACCCGGGUA
rnacentral:rRNA from 1 species